rnacentral:lncRNA from 1 species
CUGGGGCUCCGGGCUCCGCGGGCCCGGCGCUGCGGAUCCGAGGCCGGGGCACCGGAGGGUUUGCUCCGCUCAGGAGCCUCUCCCGGGCCGCCGCCUGGGGAUGGGGCGCUGAUUGGGGGCCUGACCCGGCAGACCCCAGCGCAUCUUCCCCUUCGGGAGGCACCACCUUGCCCCUCUCCUGGCCCUUACGCGGCAGUUUCAUCCUCAUCUCACUGACAAAAGUAGAUGCGAGUUUUGAUUUUCCAUGAAAAUCAAACACGUCACAAGAAAUUUCUCAUGAAAAAUUGCAACAGCAAUUUCCAGCUGACUUUCCAGAUAUGUGAGAUACUUGUCCCUGAGAAUCCUGGGUGAUGACAACAACAUUCAAGGAGAAGAAGAGUCUUCCCAGGGUCAGAAGACAUUACAAGCAACAAAAUUCUGUCUCCCUUUACUAAGAACAGCCUUGCAGAUAAUGAAAAGGAAAUAAAAAUGGGUGCAGCAGCAACUGUCCCUCAGCCUGUCAGCUGCCAUCAGUCUCCCUCUGGCACCAGUGCAUCAGACAAAGGUGUAGCACUUUCCAGGUUGAACAACCAUCAUGGAUCUCAACUGGACUGUGUAAUUUACAUCACAGUGAUUCAUGGCAACAUAUGGGAAGCCUUAUUAGAACAAACAGCAGAAGAAAAGUGGUGGAAUAUCACAGUGAAAGCAAGAGAUGAAAGAGAGAACAAAUGCAACAUGCAUUACACCAAGCAGUUACAAUAGAGAAUGUGCUAGCCAUAGCAUGCCUCUUUCCCUUUUUAUGCCUUCUUGUCCCUGCAGUACAUCUGAGCCUACACUAAUUCUUUUUUUUUCAUACACCUCUCACAUGCUUAAAAUGUAAAAAAUAAAAAAGUCCAACCCAGUUUUGGUGCCUAAUAU